UGUUAUUCAACUAAACCCAACCCAACCCAACAAAAGCAUAAUAGAUAAUAAGUUUUAUUUUAAAAUAUUGAAAUGUAUACUUAAAGUAGGUGCUUCUUGAAUACCGGGAUAAUAAAGCGUAUCCAUUAAUUAAUAAACAAAACAAUUUUGCGAAAAAUGUUAGUGAAUACCUUUAGUAAUUUUAAAUAUUUCGUAAGUGCGUGUGAUUAGGCACUACUGUCUCAGAUGUUAUAUAACAACAUCCAAUAGGGUUAUAAGCAAGUUGAUCAUUUUUUGAGGUUAAUUCUUAAUGUUUACAUGAUAAAUGUAAAUAUUUAUUGCAAUAAUGAGUGAAAUAUAUCAUGAUUAUAACGUUGAAAUUAUUUAAAUAUUAUAAUUAGUGCUUUUACCUUUGUUACAACUAUUUUUUAUUUAAUUAAAUUAUGAACGUAGUGUACGAGACUGUGAUUUUAAUAUUAUGUUGUUUAUCACUAGUGUCAUGCUUUGAUCCCUUUUCAAUAGGAACAGGAGCUGCACUUGCAGCAAGUUAUUUAUAUCAAAAUUUAAAAAAUACGGUUUGCUUUUUCAAAGAAUGCUGUACAGAAAGAGAAAUUCCUGCUAAUUUUAACAGGUUAGAAACUAGUCUAAAAGAAAAAUUGUAUGGUCAAAAUUUAGUUCAUGAUGUAGUUGUAAAUGCUUUGAAAGGACACUGGAAUGGUGAGCCUACUAAAGCUUUAACUUUGAGUUUUCAUGGAACUCCCGGUUGUGGAAAGAAUUAUGUUACAACAUUUAUUGUGGAAAGUUUAUAUGCAAAAGGAAGUGAAAGUGUUCAUGUUCAUAACUUUCUAGGAAGAAUACAUUUUCCAUUAAAAGACAAAACAGAAGAAUAUCAGCAAAAACUUUAUCAAUGGAUAAAAGGAAAUGUAACAAAAUGUGCAAGACAAAUCU
rnacentral:lncRNA from 1 species